rnacentral:rRNA from 1 species
UACGGAGGGGGCUAGCGUUGUUCGGAAUUACUGGGCGUAAAGCGCACGUAGGCGGACUGUUAAGUCGGGGGUGAAAUCCUGGGGCUCAACCUCAGAAUUGCCCCCGAUACUGGCAGUCUCGAGUGCGGGAGAGGUGAGUGGAAUUCCCAGUGUAGAGGUGAAAUUCGUAGAUAUUGGGAAGAACACCAGUGGCGAAGGCGGCUAUCUGGCCCGUAAUUGACGCUGAGGCGCGAAAGCGUGGGGAGCAAACAGG